UACAGAGGCCUCAAGCGUUGUUCGGAAUCACUGGGCGUAAAGGGCGCGUAGGCGGAAUGGCAAGUCGGUCGUGAAAUCCUUCGGCUCAACCGAAGAACGUCGAUCGAAACUGCCGUUCUUGAGGAUUGCAGAGGAGACUGGAAUUCCCGGUGUAGCGGUGAAAUGUGUAGAGAUCGGGAGGAACACCGGUGGCGAAGGCGGGUCUCUGGGCAAUUCCUGACGCUGAGGCGCGAAAGCGUGGGGAGCAAACGGG
rnacentral:rRNA from 1 species